GGGGCUGAACGGUUUCGACUUUAAUCGUUCGAUUCAGGAGAAGCGGGUAGAGGAUCCAGGGUUAUCUCUUUAACGAUCUCUGGAAACUAUAAGUGCCGAUUCCAAUCGCACUGACUUCGCACUUGCUGCUUAAGCAAGACUAAGCGAAGGGCUGGCCUGGGGGCGUCUCCGCUCCAGUCACCAGUCUCAUUUAGGGGACUUGCUUAUCUGGCCACGUCGUGGGGCCAGGUUGGGACAUUUACACGACUGAGCCUGUCGAUGACGUGUCUGUGCGAGCAUCGGGGCUGAGAAAAGCGUCUAGCAGACUGCACCCGGAGAAGUCCUGUUUCAGCAUUAGAGGACGCGGGUUCGAUUCCCGCCAGCUCCACUG
rnacentral:tmRNA from 1 species